UCGAGAAUCUUCCGCAAUGGGCGCAAGCCUGACGGAGCGAUGCCGCGUGAGGGAAGAAGGCCUUCGGGUCGUAAACCUCUGUCACCCGGGACGAAACCAAUGACGGUACCGGGAGAGGAAGCCACGGCUAACUACGUGCCAGCAGCCGCGGUAACACGUAGGUGGCGAGCGUUAUUCGGAUUCACUGGGCGUAAAGGGUCCGCAGGGGGCCCUCCAAGCCCGCCGUGAAAUCCCGGGGCUCAACCCCGGAAGUGCGGCGGGGACUGGCGGGCUGGAGUAUGCGAUGGGCAAUUGGAACACCAGGUGUAGCGGUGGAAUGCGUGGAUAUCUGGUGGAACACCGAUGGCGAAAGCGAAUUGCUGGCGCAUCACUGACCCUCAUGGACGAAAGCGU
rnacentral:rRNA from 1 species